rnacentral:misc_RNA from 1 species
UCUCCGUUGGUGAACCAGCGGAGGGAUCAUUACAGAGUUGCAAAACUCCCAAACCAUUGUGAACGUUACCUAUCCCGUUGCUUCGGCGGGCGGCCCGGGCCCCGCGCCCGGCGCCCCCCGGCCCCCCGUGGGCGCCCGCCGGAGGUAAACCAAACCCUUGAAUUGCAUGGCCUCUCUGAGUCUUCAGUACUGAAUAAGUCAAAACUUUCAACAACGGAUCUCUUGGUUCUG